CGCCACUGCUUUGCGUGUAGACCCGAAGCUUAGCAGUAAGUACAAUGUGUCCAAGAACAUUCGUCGCAGUUUUCUUAAGCAGUUUAAUCUUUACGGCAGGAACCUCCCUGGCAGAUAGUUCAGGAGACAAAGAAGAAUCUAGUUCAUCAGGGGCCAUUGAUAAACCCUCGUCUGAUGCCAUUAACAAAAAUAUUCAAAACGCGGCUUGCUGCUGGAUGGCAGGACCUCCACCUGGCAAAAAAACAACUAUUUUUCACAGAGGAAGAAAGAUGUUUAAUCGGGAGCACCGCGCACAUUACGUUCUUAGAUUCAAGAAAUUCGAUUAAAACUAACCGCUCGUAAACGAUGCAAACAGGAUAGAGAAAAAUGAAGUCGCGGAAAGCCUCGAGGAUCUAAAAUUGACGGUUUUCCGAGGGAAUAAACUCGAUUCUAACACAAUUCUAGUAUUGCUAUAUAGAGGUAAAUAAACAUGACGUCCUGCA